GACGAACGCUGGCGGCGUGCUUAACACAUGCAAGUCGAACGGAAAGGCCCUGCUUUGGUGGGGUGCUCGAGUGGCGAACGGGGGAGUAACACGUGAGUAACCUGCCCUUGACUUUGGGAUAACUUCAUGAAGCUGGUGCUAAUACCGGAUAGGAGCUCCUGCUUCAUGGUGGGGGUUGGAACGUUUCGGCGGUUGGGUAUGGACUCGCGGCUUAUCGGCUUGUUGGUGGGGUAGUGGCUUACCAAGGCUUUGCCGGGUAGCCGGCCUGAGAGGGUGGCCGGCUACAUUGGGACUGAGAUACGGCCCAGACCCAUACGGGAGGCAGCAGUGGGGAAUAUUGCACUAUGGGAGGAAGGCUGAUGCAGCAAAGCCGCGCGCGGUAAAAGGGGAUUCUGGUUGUAAACCGAUUUCGCCUGUCACGAAGCGUGAGUGACGGUAACCGGUAAAGAAGCACCGGCUAACUACGUG
rnacentral:rRNA from 1 species